UACGAAGGGUGCUAGCGUUGUUCGGAAUCACUGGGCGUAAAGCGCGCGUAGGCGGCUUAACAAGUCAGGGGUGAAAUCCCACGGCUCAACCGUGGAACUGCCUUUGAAACUGUUGGGCUAGAGUGUCGGAGGGGAUAGCGGAAUUGCUAAUGUAGAGGUGAAAUUCGUAGAUAUUAGCAGGAACACCGGUGGCGAAGGCGGCUAUCUGGACGACAACUGACGCUGAGGCGCGAAAGCGUGGGGAUCAAACAGG
rnacentral:rRNA from 1 species